rnacentral:rRNA from 1 species
CGCGUAGGCGGUUAUAUAAGUGAGAUGUGAAAUCCCUGGGCUUAACCUAGGAACUGCAUCUCAUACUGUGUGGCUAGAGUAUUGUAGAGGGUAGUGGAAUUUCCGGUGUAGCGGUGAAAUGCGUAGAGAUCGGAAGGAACACCAGUGGCGAAGGCGGCUACCUGGACAAAUACUGACGCUGAGGCGCGAGAGCGUGGGGAGCAAACA